GAGGGUGAGGCCUGCCCAAUGGUUGUAUCUAAAAGCGGUUGAUAAAAGUCGACCGUGUAAGGACAAUUGAAUGGCCGCGGUAACACUGACCGUGAUAAUGUAGCGUAAUCAAUAGCCAAUUAAUUGUUGGCCAGUAUGAAUGGCGCCACGAAGGCCCCACUGUCUUAAGGAAAUUCCCAGUGAAAUUGAAUUCGUAGUGAAGAUGCUACGUCCAAUUUGUUAGACGAAAAGACCCCGUUGAGCUUUACUGGGGCACUUACACGGCCCCGGCCUUCAAAACUGGGUUGAUAAGCCAAGGCUUACCAUACCUAGGGACCGGCCGAAUUUAAAUGGGCGGCUUAGACUAUGUGGCAGCCCCCCCCGUCGGGGCAGAUGAAACCCCACUCCCCCAUGUCAAAGGGGCUAACCCCCCCCCUUGGGGGGGACAGUGUAAGUAGGACAGUUUGGUUGGGGCGACCGCCUUUUAGAGAGUAACGAAGGUGCGCUUAAGGUGCGUAAUUAAUGACUGAAGCCUGACUGCGAGGGGGACACCCCGAGCAGACACCCCCAAGCCCGCCCUCGCCUUCGUACCAACGGAGGGAGGGCGGCGGUGGGGUGG
rnacentral:rRNA from 2 species